rnacentral:rRNA from 1 species
GACGAACGCUGGCGGCGCGCCUAAUACAUGCAAGUCGAGGGAGAACCGAGCCUUCGGGCUCGGGGAGACCGGCGAACGGGUGAGUAACACGUGAGGAACCUGCCCUGUAGACCGGAAUAACCACGGGAAACUGUGGCUAAUGCCGGAUAUUCUCGAACGUCCGCAUGGAAGUUCGAGGAAAAGGUCCGCCGCUACAGGAUGGCCUCGCGGCCUAUCAGCUUGUUGGUGAGGUAACGGCUCACCAAGGCGACGACGGGUAGCUGGCGUGAGAGCGCGACCAGCCACACUGGGACUGAGACACGGCCCAGACUCCUACGGGAGGCAGCAGUAGGGAAUCUUGCGCAAUGGGCGAAAGCCUGACGCAGCGACGCCGCGUGCGGGAAGAA